AUUAUUCUGUCCGUUUUUUGGAAGAAAGGUAAACUUGGAGCUGCUACUUUCAACACUGAUACCUCUAUGAUUCAUGUAUUGAAUGAUACCAUAGACUCGGGUCCUGAUUACAACAUUUUGUGUGCUCUUUUCUCUCAAAUGAAUCCAACGUAAGUGUCUCAUGAAUUUUACAAUUUUCACACAGUAAUUAGAUAAAAAUCGCUACUUUUUUUCCUUCUUUGUAUUUACUAAAUCUCAAAGACUCACAUGUAAAGCACAUCCAAGAUUGAAAAUUUGAUUACGCAUUAUUUGCAGGGAACACCAUGACUAAUGUUGUACCACACUCAUCCAGGCAAAACAGGAAAUCCUUAAAAAUUCAUAAUAAAUAACUUUUUUGUUUUCCAUUCAUUUUAGGAAUAAAGAAAUUUGUGAGAAAUGAGUUCAAACAUUCAAGAUGCUCUACAUGAAGUUAAUUUGAAAUUGUACAUAUUCUCUUUCUGCUUUUCUCAUUCAUUUUUUCCAUACUUAUCUGUUGCUGUUAACAAAAAACAUCUCCCUUCACCUUCCAGAUAAAUUUCCUUCAAGUGCUCUUUAAACUCCAAUCAAGUAUUUCUUGUCUCUUUUUGUUUUUCUUCGAUAGGCACUUUCCUAGUGAAAGCAAUACCCACUAAGAUCUAUUACGUUUAAUUAUAUGAUUCCGAGCAAGACCAAGACAGAAACAUCCUGUACCACUCAUUUUCAUCCCAUGCAUGCCUUAUUACAGGAGGAUUUUAAUCUGCUUUUAAUAUUUCUUCAAUAUCUCCUUGAUUUCAUCAUAAACUUUCUUACUGUAAAUUCACCCAGGCACACUGUUACAACUGGCUCUCUCCCUAAUGAUGUUAUCAAAACCAUAAAGAAAUGGUGACAGAUUUCAGUCAGUCCACGUCCACAGAUACAGCCCCCUCCCUGAACAGACUGCAUUAUUUACCCAGUCAUGAAUUUAAAUACGAAAUUGGGAGACAUCGAAUUCCGUUAAUGAAACUCACCUGCUUGCCUCAAAACGCCACAGAGAGUGAGAAAUUGAUUUACCUCCAAUCUGUCUUCGAUAUGAGUUCAGAAGCCUUAGUCAGUGCCUUAGGUGGAUUGUUGCUAUUCAUGGACAAGUCGAUGACAAGAAUUACCUUGCAAAGACAGCAAAUGUUUGUUUCAAACAUUUGCAAUUUGGAAAUGUAAGUAACAUUUUAUGUGAGAAGAAGCAAAAUAAAAUAGAUGUUUAUUUUCCUUGUCAUUAUUUUAUAUUUUGAAAAAAUUUCUAUGCAAUCUCCGAAAAUUUCUCAACAUUUAUCUGUGAAUUUUCCCCUUUUUCUGUGUCAUUUUACGUCACAACAUUACUCACAUUCAUUAUUUUUAGAUAUUUUGAAGAGGAAAACAACAAAGGGGCAAAAAGAGGAGAGAAAUAUUAUAAUUGAGGAUUUAAACACAAUUAAAAAGCCUAGUCUCAAAAACAUCAAUUCAUGAUUUUACAAUUAAAGUAUUGGUAUUGUAACGGCAAAAUAAAAAGUACUUUAAGUUAAUAUCCCCUUCACUCAACCUCUGCAAUUUUUACACUGGAAAGACAAUAUGUGUGCUCGUGUGUAUACAAUAAAUAAUAUUUUGUGGAUCGUAACCACCCCUUACAUUAAUCAAAAUGCAUAGAUUAAAUCCUGCUGGUGCAAGUUGGUUAGAAAGUGAAAAUGAAAAAUAGAGUUUUUAUUUCUUUUUUUUUAAAGGUAAUUUAAUUAAAAA
rnacentral:lncRNA from 1 species